UUCAAUGUGCCUUUCUGUCAUAAAAAGGAUAGAUUUGUUUAAAAAAUAAAUGAUGCAAGCAACAGUUUUGCAACAUGUUUCUGUGCACACACCAUACGUCGUCGUUGGAACUGCAGUUGUUGUGGAACCUCCGGUCGUAGUGGAACCUCUGGUUGUGGACCCCCCGGUUGAAGUGGAACCUCCAGUUGUUGUGGACCCCCCAGUUGUUGUUGAACCUCCGGUUGAAGUGGAACCUCCAGUUGUUGUGGAAACUCCGGUCGUUGACCCCCUGGUUGAAGUUGAACCUCCAGUUGUUGUGGACCCCCCAGUUGUAGUGGAACCUCCGGUUGUGGACACCCCGGUUGAAAUGGAACCUCCAGUUGUUGUGGAGCCUCCGGUUGUGGACCCCCCAGUUGAAGGUGAAACCCUGGUUGUGGACCCCCCGGUUGUUGUGGACCCCCCGGUUGUUGUGGACCCCCCAGUAGUGAUGGAACCUUUGGUUGUGGAACCCUUGGUUGAAGUGGAACCUCCAGUUGUUGUGGAACCUCCGGUUGUAGUGGAAUGUACGAUUGUAGCAGAUUCUCCGGUUUUAGUGGAAUUUACGAUUGUAGCAGAUUCUCCGGUUGUAGUGGAACCACCAGUUGUUGAGGAACCUCCGGUUGUAGAGGGACGUUCGAUUGUUGUGGACCCCCCGGUUGUUGUAGAACCUCUGGUUGUUGUGGAACUUCCGGUUGUUGUGGAACCUCCAGUUGUCGUGGAACCUCCGGUUGUAAGGGAACGUAUGCUUGUUGUCGAACCGCCAGUUGUAGUGGAACCUCCGGUCGAGGACCCCCCGGUUGAAGUGGAACCUCGGGUAGUCGUGGACCCUCUGGUUGUGGACCCCCCGGUUGAAGUGGAACCUCCAGUUGUUGUGGAGCCUCUGGUUGUGGACCCCCAGGUUGAAGUUGAAACCCCGGUCGUGGACCCCCCGGUUGUUGUGGAACCUAUGGUUGUUUUGGAACCUCUGGUUGUUGUGGAACCUCCGGUUGUAGUGGAACCUCUGGUUUUGGAACCAACGGUUGUGGACCCCCCGGUUGAAGUGGAACCUCCGGUUGUUGUGGAACCUUCAUUUGCUACGGAAACUUUGGCUGUUGUGGAACCACCGGUUGUUGUGAAACCUGCGUUUGGCGUGGAAGCUUUGGUU
rnacentral:lncRNA from 1 species